GAGUCUGCUGGAGAUUUUCUCUCUCCCUUUCCUUUUGCCCCGCUGUGUGUGCAUGCUCUCUUUCCAGAAUAAAUAAAUCUUAAAAAAAAAAAAAGGCACAGAAUGUGACAGUGUGGCACACCAGGGCAUCUGCUCCUGGUUGGUCCUCUCCCUUUGCCAGCAACCACGUGGAGGACCGGGGAGUUUGCUGGGGGUUGGGUAACGAGCAGCAAGACCCCGGGAUGGCCCCUCCUGAGCUGUGGCAUCAGUUGGCGAGGUUCGAUGGAAGUAGCGCUGAUUUUCUUACCACUCCUCUUUGAACAUCGGCACAGAUGCUGUUCCCUGUUAGCUAGCAGUCAUCUAAGACCAUUCCCCGUUCUGAGCUAGUCACUACACUUCUUGAUUAAACCUGGAAGAUGAAGCAUUGACUCUUGCAAGAAGGAAUUGAGAUUUUGAAAGGUAUUAACACAGAGUUCUUUGGAGAAACAGAAAUCUUUUAAUUUUUACUGGCGUCUCAGAUGCGGAGCCUCCCAGUCUGAUCCGUGCAGCCGACGGAGAGAAGGCGUUGGAGUGCUCUCCUGAUUGACAGACGUGAUUGGCAGAGUGGUCUCCGCAGUCUUCUAAUUGAACAAAAUGCUUGUCACUACACAAAUCAUUAAAAUACUGUUUGAAGAAUGUGCACUGUGACAAGUGCGAAGUGAGGUGUUGUUCGCAGCUACUCUCUGAACACAGACUUUGAGCGAGAUGAGCCCUUUUGUUCUGUUGGUUUCUUCUUGCUGGUGUUGGAAAGUGGGCACCAGCUCAUGGAGCCCUUGCAAGCAUGGGGGCCGGGACUGGGGGGUGCUGUUGCGUGCGGUGGAGGGGGACAGAGACCCCAGAGGCCACCGCCUCGCCCUGAGCCAGCUCUACCAGCAGCCAGCGUAUGACUCCCGUUGCAGUGUUUGCGUCCGUUUCCCCUCAAACCUGGUGUGCUGCAUGGAGUUGGUGGAUUAUUAAAUUUUUUUUCAUGGACAUGAACAGCGAUUCUGCCUUGCUUCUGAACCCUCCAAGCGGGAGCACACAUCAGUCUGGUGUCAUCAGAGCUCUGGUUCCCAUUGGCAUCUCAUCUCACUCCAGGCCGUUCGGUUGGAGCUGUGCUGUCUCCCGGUUCAGCGAGGGGCCUGCGGCCUGGUCUGUCUCUGGGUUCCCGCCUGGCUUCCCACAUGUCCGGCCGGGUCGGCUCCAGGGCUGUGUCUUCCGCGACUGGGAAUCUGUGGGUUGUAGGUUCAGAGGAACCGGCAUUGUUCACAGGAGCCGGGGGAUGGGGGCCAGAACUGGAAAGGACUGUGGCUUUGUACAGAUGAGCGAGAGGCCCCAAGAGGAAUCCUCUGGUCGUGAGGCCUUCCGUGAGUGGGGCUCCUGUCUCCCAGUCCCGUCCUUCCUGUCUGUUCCCUGCCUGUAUCCUGAGUGUGCUGGUGGGUGUGACGUGGUUUGCUCCUCUCCGUUUUGAGGUGAGGAAAGCGGGGCUGGAUGGAGCAGCAGCUGGGGUGGGCGGCAAGCUGGUUCCUGUGCGGUGCCAGCCGGGGCUUCUCAGGUCCCAGCCCCCGUGCCGUUUUCACUGCACCUGGAAACCGCACAGUGUCACGGGUUCGAUCCAUGCACACGUAGCCCGGCCCUGCCACGUACCGAGCAGGAUGCCAGCCAUCACACCAGCGACCUGUCCCUGUGGCUCAUUCAGCACAGUCACCAUAUCUGGUGACAGCCAAGUCUGCUUUCCCAUCAGAGCUCAUGUCCUGCUGCAUUGUGAUGGUUUAGACGAAGCGCCUGGGCAGAGCAGGGGCCAGUCUGUCUGCCGUAUCCACAGUGGCCAGCACAACACCAGGAGCAUCAGGUGACCAAGCUCCAGUCCUCCAGCCCGCAGCCCACGGGCUCCCUCUUGUGGGGCAGGGCAGCGGGCGCCUGGGGAAGGGCUGAUCAUUCUGGGUGUGGAAAGAGGCCCGUCUCCUCUUAGAAAUAACAGAGAAGUGGGUGCUGUGUCCUGGUGUCCUCCCUCAUGUCUCCCUAGUUUGGGACGGCCCUGGAUUGUAGGGACUGCUCUGGAAUGAACACGCAGGGCGACCUUGGACCUGGAUUCCAGAAGAGAAUGUUUGCGAGCACCCUCCUGGGGAAGGAGGGGGCCUCACCCUGUUUCUCAGCAAGAAGCAGCGUCUUGGUUUAAAAUAGAGCGAUGAUGGCUGGUAAAUAGGGAAGUGAAUGAGGAGCGGCAGCCCCAGAUGAAUAAUGCAGGAGGCGUAUGAAUGGGG